rnacentral:lncRNA from 1 species
CAUCAUCCUGAGUUCAAAUCUGACCUCAGAUACUUCCUAAUUGUGUGACUCUGGGCAAUUCACUUCACCUUGUUUGCCUCAGUUUCCUCAUCUGUCAAAAAGGCUGGAAAAGGCAAUGACAAACCACACCAUUGUCUUUGCCCAGAAAACCCCAAAUGGGAUCACAAAGAGUCCCACAUCACUGAAAUGACUCAACAAUAACAAUAACAACAAUAAGUACUUAUUGACUAAACUGCCUGGUUGGUGAAUGAAGUUACAACUUGACUGAUGGCUCAGUCUCUUUCUCCCUCUCUCCAUCCACCUUCAGGGGUCCUGCUCUGGAGAGGGAUGCUGGUGGUGAUUGGGCUAUCCUGCAGAAGCUCUUGAAUAUGGGGUGUCUGGAGUCUCCCAGGAAUCAGCAAAGUCCCCAUGAGGGAUUCUGGGACUUGGGGCUUAAUCACACUGAAAAAAUAUUACUCUGAGAAGGGGAAAAUAGUCACCAGACUGUUAGAGGGACCUACGAUACAAGAAUAUGAAGAACACGAAGUGAGCGAAUUCCCGAGGCUGCUUUCUCCGUCACUUCCUGUGCCUCACAAGUGCCAAUGGUGGCUCAAGCUUGGCUUAGGACAGCCCAGGAGAGGCACACCUGAAGAAUUUCUUGAGGAUUCCAUGAAAGGAGACAAGGACUCCCAGGAACCAGUAGCUGUACAGAGAAAACAAAAGCAAUCCUGACCCUCAGGAUGCUACUGGGAGUGACAGUGAUGGUGGUAUAUGACAUGUGUACAAGAAAUUAAAAAGAGGAAGCCACAUUUAUAUGGUACUUUUCAAAAGCUUUAUGAAUUUGCUUUACACACCAUGCAUACAGUAUGCUUUACAUACAACAUCGUAUUUGAGCCUCAUUAUCAUUCCCACUUUACAAAUGGGGAAACAGGUUCAGGGGGUAUAGUGACCUGUCCAAUAGAACACAGCUAGUAAAUGUCAGAAGUGGGACUUGGAUUUCCAUUUUUAUGCAGAAUUAAGCAAAAACCAAAUAACAUGAACAUUUCCAUGUAGUUAAUAGAACAUAAAAGAUUCAUGGAAUUGGCAAAUUUUUUUAAUAUGCAGAUUGCUUCUCUUUUAAAAUUAUAAUAAAUUUAGUAC